UGAGAUGUAGCUCAGUUGGUAGAGUGCCUGCCUGGCAUGCAAGAAGCCCCAGAUUCCAUCCCAGCACCUCAU
rnacentral:tRNA from 1 species